AGGACGAACGCUGGCGGCGUGCUUAACACAUGCAAGUCGAGCGGAAAGGCCCUUCGGGGUACUCGAGCGGCGAACGGGUGAGUAACACGUGAGCAACCUGCCCCUGGCUCUGGGAUAGCCUCCGGAAACGGGGAUUAAUACCGGACAUUCUCCUUCUUCCGCAUGGUUGAGGGUGGAAAGUUUUUUCGGCCGGGGAGGGGCUCGCGGCCUAUCAGCUAGUUGGUGGGGUAACGGCCUACCAAGGCGACGACGGGUAGCC
rnacentral:rRNA from 1 species